rnacentral:rRNA from 1 species
AUAAGGGCGCAUAGUGGAUGCCUUGGCAAUAUGAGAUGAUGAAGGACGUGACUACCUACGAAAUGCAUCGGGGAGCUGGAUGUACGCUUUGAUCCGGUGAUGUCCGAAUGGGGGAACCUAUCUAGUUUAAUAGCUGGAUGUCUUACAGAUGAAUUCAUAGUCUGUUUGAAAGAAACUCAGGGAACUGAAACAUCUUAGUACCUGAAGGAAAAGAAAGAAAAAUCGAUUACCUUAGUAGUGGCGAGCGAAACGGCAACAGCCCAAACCAGUCUUCGGACUGGGGUUGUAGGACACUCUAUACGGAGUUAUAAAACAUCUUACUAGUCGAAUAGUUUGGAAUAACUAAUCAAAGAGCGUGAGAAUCGUGUAGACGAAAGUUUGAUGCCUCUUGAGUGUAUCCUGAGUACGGCGAAACACGAGAAAUUUUGUCGGAAUCUGCGGGGACCAUCCCGUAAGGCUAAAUACUCCAUAUUGACCGAUAGUGAACAAGUACCGUGAGGGAAAGGUGAAAAGAACCCCGGGAGGGGAGUGAAAUAGAAUUCUGAAACUAUGUGCUUACAAAAAGUUCGAGCCCGUUAAUGGGUGAGAGCGUGCCUUUUGCAGAAUGAGCCGGCGAGUUAUGGUGUAAUGCAAGGUUAAGUGGUAAACACGGAGCCGAAGCGAAAGCGAGUUUUAAUAGAGCGAUUAGUAUUAUGCUGUAGACCCGAAACCGAGUGAUCUAACCAUGGGCAGGUUGAAGUAAGAGUGAUAUCUUAUGGAGGACCGAACGAGGAAGCGUUGUAAAGCUUUUCGAUGACCUGUGGCUAGCGGUGAAAUUCCAAUCGAACUCGGAAAUAGCUGGUUCUCCCUGAAAUAGGUUUACGCCUAGCCUCGUAUGUUUCUUAUUGGAGGUAGAGCACUGAAUAUGGAAUGGCGGCGUAUAGUCGUACUGACUGUAAUCAAACUCCGAAUGCCAGUAAGUUUAGUACGGGAGUCAGUGUAUGGGUGAUAACGUUCAUACGCGAGAGUGAAUUAACACAGAUCAUCAGCUAAGGUCCCCAAAUUAGCAUUAAGUGGAAAAGGAUGUGAAAUUGCACGAACAGCUAGGAGGUUGGCUCAGAAGCAGCCAUCCUUUAAAGAGUGCGUAAUAGCUCACUAGUCGAGUGACACUGCGCCGAAGAUGUACCGGGGCUAAGUACAAUACCGAAAUCGCGGAUUCAUAGGUAACUAUGAGUGGUAGGGGAGCGUUCCAAGUGCGUUGAAGGUUGACCGUGAGGACAAUUGGAGUGCUUGGAAGUGAGAAUGCCGGUGUGAGUAGCGCAAGAUGGGUGAGAAUCCCAUCCACCGAUUGACUAAGGGUUCCUGGGGCAGGUUCGUCCACCCAGGGUUAGUCGGGACCUAAGGCGAGGCCGAAAGGCGUAGUCGAUGGACAACAGGUUUAUAUUCCUGUACUAUCUAUAUAACUGAUGGAGUGACGGAGAAGGCUAGGAAGAGCCAGUUAUUGGAUUCUGGUCAAAGCACAAAGGUUUAUAAUUAGGGAAAACCGGUUAUAGAUAAGCUGAAGUGUGAUAGUGAAACUGUUUACAGUGAAAUCUUCUGAUGCCAAGCUUCCAAGAAAAGCUUCUAGGGCUAAUUAUAUAGAUACCCGUACUCAGAACCGACACAGGUGGUCAAGGAGAGAAUCCUAAGGUGAGCGAGAGAACCACGGUUAAGGAACUCGGCAAAAUAACCCCGUAACUUCGGGAUAAGGGGUGGUCACUUCGGUGACCGACACUAAAGACGCCCAGGCAACUGUUUACCAAAAACAUAGGUUUCUGCAAAUUCGAAAGAAGAAGUAUAGGAGCUGACACCUGCCCAGUGCUGGAAGGUUAAGAGGAGUGCUUAGAUAGACGCAAGUCGAUGAUUCGAAGGUACGAAUUGAAGCCCCAGUGAACGGCGGCCGUAACUAUAACGGUCCUAAGGUAGCGAAAUUCCUUGUCAGGUAAGUUCUGACCCGCACGAAAGGUGUAAUGAUUUGGGCGCUGUCUCAAACUUAGACUCGGUGAAAUCUUAAUACCUGUGAAAAUGCAGGUUACCCGCAGCUGGACAAAAAGACCCCAUGGAGCUUCACUGUAAGUUGAUAUUGAAACCAGGUAAUUAAUGUAGAGGAUAGGUGGUAGACUUUGAUGUAUAGACGCCAGUUUAUACGGAGUCGCCCUUGGAAUACCACCCUUUGAUUGCUUGGUCUCUAACUUGCACCCAUUAUCUGGGUGGAGGACAGUGUCUGCUGGGCAGUUUGACUGGGGCGGUCGCCUCCCAAAGAGUAACGGAGGCGCACAAAGGUUCCCUCAGAUUGGUUGGAAAUCAAUCGUUGAGCGUAUUGGUAUAAGGGAGCUUGACUGUGAGACUUACAAGUCGAGCAGGUACGAAAGUAGGUCAAAGUGAACUUGCGGUUUGAAUAUGGAAUUGCCGUCGAUUAACGGAUAAAAGUUACCCUGGGGAUAACAGGCUGAUACCACCCAAUAGUUCACAUAGACGGUGGUGAUUGGCACCUCGAUGUCGGCUCGUCUCAUCCUGGAGGAGUAUUAGAUUCCAAGGGUUGGGCUGUUCGCCCAUUAAAGAGGCACGCGAGCUGGGUUCAGAACGUCGUGAGACAGUUCGGUCUCUCUCCACUGCGGGCGUAGGAAAAUUGCGAAGGGCUGUCUCUAGUACGAGAGGACCGAGAUGGACAAACCUAUGGUAUAUCAGUUGUCACGCCAGUGGCAUCGCUGAGUAGCUAUGUUUGGACUGGAUAAUCGCUGAAAGCAUCUAAGCGAGAAGCCAACUUCUAGAUGAGUUUUCCCAUAUGUAUAUAGUAAGAAUCGUUGUAGACUACAACGUUGAUAGGCUAGAGCUGGAAGAAUAGUGAUAUUUUGAGGUGACUAGUACUAAUAGUUCGAGGAUUUAAUCA